UUGGAAUUGGUUAUUAGGGUUUUGAAAUUGAUUAAGGUUACCAUUUUGUGGGUUCCACUGAUUCUGGUUAAUCCCUCGAUUGGGACCAUUGGGUGGCUGAAAAUUAGGAUUUUGACGAAUGGGUUGCCGGAAAUUAGGGUUUUGCGGGGGUGGUGGUGGUCGGAAAUUAGGGUUUUGAGGAGGAGGUGGUGGUCGGAAAUUAGGGUUUUGCGGAGGUGGUUGUUGCCGGUAAUUAGGGUUUUGAGGAGGCUGUGGUGGUCGGAAAUUAGGGUUUUGAGGGUUCCAAUCCUGUUGAGGAAAUCGACCAGGGGCAUUUUGAGUAUUGUGAUGAUUGAAAUGUUGAUUGUGAUCAGAGGGUGGUUGCUGAACCUGAUGAGGAGGCAAUCUACCAUACUCGU
rnacentral:lncRNA from 1 species